GCCAGUGUGUCAUAGUGGUUUGAGUGUUGGACUACAACUCUGGAAACCAGGGUUCGAAACCCACUGGGA